UAAUACGUAGGGGUCAAGCGUUGUCCGGAUUUAUUGGGCGUAAAGAGCUCGUAGGCGGUUCAACAAGUCGGUCGUAAAAGUUUAGGGCUCAACCCUAAAAUGUCGAUCGAUACUGUUGUGACUAGGAUACGGUAGAGGUGAAUGGAAUUCCGAGUGUAGCGGUGAAAUGCGUAGAUAUUCGGAGGAACACCAAUUGCGAAGGCAGUUCACUGGACCGUGAUCGACGCUGAGGAGCGAAAGCUAGGGGAGCAAACAGGAUUAGAUACCCUGGUAGUCCUAGCUGUAAACGAUGGAUACUAGAUGUAGGAACUGGAUUGACGGUUUCUGUAUCGUAGCUAACGCGUUAAGUAUCCCGCCUGGGGAGUACGGUCGCAAGACUA
rnacentral:rRNA from 1 species